rnacentral:lncRNA from 1 species
UCCAUAGCAUUAGUUUACAUGAAUGGCGUAUUCAUGAAAUCGACCAAUCAACUAUGUUUCAAUCCCAAACUAAUCAGAUUUGGCUAUAUAAAUUCGUUGUAAUGUGGGGGUGUGGGGGUGGGAGUAGAGAGAGGUAGAUAAACUAAAAUUGGAGAAUAUAUGCUCCUAAAAUCAUGCGUAAAAUAAAUGAAUCAAUAAUUAUACCCUUAAUUUGAAUUAUGG